rnacentral:Y_RNA from 1 species
GGCUGAUCCGAGUAUAGUGGUGUUUACAACUAAUUGAUCACAACCAGUUACAGAUUCCUUUGUUCCUGCUCCACUCCCACUACUUCACUUGACUAGCCUAAA